rnacentral:rRNA from 16 species
AAAAAUACGAAUCAAAAGAGAAAUUAUCAAAAAAACAAAAAUUUCAAUAUCGGAAAAAAUCCGUGGCAACGGGAGCGCUCAAAAUGAAAUCAGGGGUGAUUUGGUCGGGGGUGAAUAAUUCUUUGUCGCACAAG